rnacentral:lncRNA from 1 species
CCUUCUUCCGUACUCCAGAAGAGGAGCGACAAAGAACUGCUUGGAAGGAAGCCCAGCCCGAGGAGUCGGAAAAAAGAAGCAAAAAACGCACUCCUCCCCCCAGGACCAACUCAUCUCCUCCGAGGAAAUCUAGGAGACAUUCCUCCAGGCGACAAACUCCUCCUCGCAGGACAUAUUAUGCUGGAGAGUCCUCCCGGGGCCGAUACAACUAUGCUUCUACCCGGGAAACACAACUGCCGGGGUACCAAGGUUCGCACCCCCGGAAUUACGGGACCAAGUUCCCUCUGGUCGCUGACACGGAUGCCGCCCGAACCACACUGCGGACCAUAUCUGGGUAUC